UACGGAGGACCCGAGCGGUACUCGGACUUACUGGGCGUCAAGGGUGUGUAGGUGGUUAGAUAAGUCAGAUGUGAAAUCCCUUUGCUCAACGCGGGAACUGCAUUUGAUACUGUCUAGCUAGAGGUUCGGAGGGGGAAGCUGAACUCUCGGUGUAGCGGUGAAAUGCGUGAAUAUCGAGAGGAACACCGGUGGCGAAGGCGGCUUCCUGGACGGAUACUGACUCUGAUAAGCGAAAGCGAGGGGAGCGAACGGG
rnacentral:rRNA from 1 species